rnacentral:ncRNA from 1 species
AGUUUGCAGCGCUGUUUAGGUGCGCUCAUUGCGGUGAGCGUUAAACGGGAAGUUGGUGCAACACCAACACUGCCCUCGCAACGGUAAGCAGGUUAUGCCAAUCUGAUAAGUCCGACACCGGCCUGACAAGGCGCGACUCU